AAAGGAGUUUGGGUCAGUCUCUGGAAGGCCAGUGAUUCACUUCAGAACUCCUGGAGUUACUUUUCUGCUUUGCUAAUUAUGGGGAGGUUGAGAUGAUCCAGAAAUCAUAUUCCAACAUGUAUAUGUUAAAGUAAAUGGAGGACGGGACCAAAAGAGACUUCUAAGGCUGAGAGAAUUAUUCAUUCUUAUAAAUUCCACCACAUUCCUGAAUAUUGGAGCAGUCCUGGGAAUGGGUUCUGUGUGAGAUCAGUUCCUCAUCAACAGCUAAAGAAAGAGAUCUUCAGAAUUGUCUUACUCCAGGGACGCCUGGGUGGCUCAGCCAGAAUUGUCUUACUCCACAGUUGAGUAGAUGUUCCUUGUUUUUCUGAGUGAGACAUCUGGGUGAACUUCCAGAAGAAGCAAGCUCAAAUCCUGGAAUAUGAAUAAAUUAGGAGUCAGUGGUCA
rnacentral:lncRNA from 1 species